AACGGCAUAGUUUAAAUUAAAAUAUUUAUUUUGCAGAUAAAAGAUAAUUUAUUAAAUUUGUUGUUC
rnacentral:tRNA from 1 species